rnacentral:rRNA from 1 species
GAUUAACGCUGGCGGCAUGCCUAAUACAUGCAAAUCGAACGAAGCCUUUUUGGCUUAGUGGUGAACGGGUGAGUAACACGUAUCCAAUCUACCCUUAAGUUUGGGAUAACUAGUCGAAAGAUUAGCUAAUACCGGAUAAUAACAUUUACUUGCAUGAGUGAAUGUAGAAAGUUGCGUUUGCAACGCUUUUGGAUGAGGGUGCGACGUAUCAGAUAGUUGGUGAGGUAACGGCUCACCAAGUCAUUGACGCGUAGCUGUACUGAGAGGUAGAACAGCCACAAUGGGACUGAGACACGGCCCAUACUCCUACGGGAGGCAGCAGUAGGGAAUUUUUCACAAUGGGCGAAAGCCUUAUGAAGCAAUGCCGCGUGAACGAUGAAGGUCUAUAAGAUUGUAAAGUUCUUUUAUUUGGGAAGAACCACUAAAAUAGGAAAUGAUUUUAGUUUGACUGUACCAUUUGAAUAAGUAUCGGCUAACUAUGUGCCAGCAGCCGCGGUAAUACAUAGGAUGCAAGCGUUAUCCGGAUUUACUGGGCGUAAAACGAGCGCAGGCGGAUUUGUAAGUUUGGUAUGAAAUCUAGAUGCUUAACGUCUAGCUGUAUCAAAAACUACGAAUCUAGAGUGUAGCAGAGAGUUGGGGAACUCCAUGUGGAGCGGUAAAAUGCGUAGAUAUAUGGAAGAACACCGGUGGCGAAGGCGCCAACUUGGACUAUUACUGACGCUUAGGCUCGAAAGUGUGGGGAGCAAAUAGGAUUAGACACCCUAGUAGUCCACACCGUAAACGAUCAUCAUUAAAUGUCGGCUCGCUUAUGAGUCGGUGUUGUAGCUAACGCAUUAAAUGAUGUGCCUGGGUAGUACAUUCGCAAGAAUGAAACUCAAACGGAAUUGACGGGGACCCGCACAAGUGGUGGAGCAUGUUGCUUAAUUUGACAAUACACGUAGAACCUUACCUAGGUUUGACAUCUAUUGCAAUGCUAUAGAAAUAUAGCGGAGGUUAACAAUAUGACAGGUGGUGCAUGGUUGUCGUCAGCUCGUGUCGUGAGAUGUUGGGUUAAGUCCCGCAACGAGCGCAACCCCUUUCGCUAGUUAAUUUAUCUAUCGAUACUGCUACCGCAAGGUAGAGGAAGGUGGGGAUGACGUCAAAUCAUCAUGCCCCUUAUAUCUAGGGCUGCAAACGUGCUACAAUGGCUAAUACAAACAGCUGCAAUACCGUAAGGUGGAGCGAAUCUGAUAAAGUUAGUCUCAGUUCGGAUAGAGGGCUGCAAUUCGCCCUCUUGAAGUUGGAAUCACUAGUAAUCGCGAAUCAGACAUGUCGCGGUGAAUACGUUCUCGGGUCUUGUACACACCGCCCGUCAAACUAUGGGAGCCGGUAAUAUCUGAAACCGUACUGUUAACCUUUUUGGAGGCAUACGUCUAGGGUAGGAUUGGUGACUGGAGUU